UCUGGCUGGGGGAGAGGGGCCUGGGGCACUGCCCAGCAGGUGCUUCCCAAGCCCAGGGUGCGGCUCCCCACCAGGCGGGGAGCAGAGCAGCAGAUCAUGCAGGGAGCAGAAAGCAGAGUGGCAGAUUGAGAAGAGAAAGGGGAUGGGAGCAGCACUUGGGAGGGCGUGGGGCUGAUCCGUGCAUGCCCGUGACUGAGAUUGCCCCUGCUGGUGUAGAGAAACCCCAAAUCCAGCUUCUUUUAAGGGGUCUGGUCCCAUGUGCAGCGAACUCCUGGAAACAGGGCACUAAUUCUCCCUGGCAGAGUCCAGGCUCCUUAUGGAGGCAGUUUUCAGGGGCCGGGAAGACAGCUCCUCUGCUCUUUCUCUUGCAGCGAUAUCAGCCCGUUGCUAAAGGAUCCUGACACCUUCCAGGCAGCCAUCAAUCUCCUGGAGACCCAUUUGAGGGCGACCUACCCGCUCAUAGACUACGUUACAGACGGUUAAUACGCAAAAAGGGGAAGCUGCCCGGCCCCACGGAGUCCGUGUCCUGCGCCCUUGAACACGGCCAGGUAACAAGCACGGGAGGCAUCUGCAGGCUGGGAGAUGCACCCCGUCUUGGGCAAGGCCAUCGGUCCCUCCAGCCCCCUCUGCCGUCUCGCACGCCAGUGGGGUGGAGGCUGGGAGAGCGUGAACGGGGCACAUCCAGAUCUUUUGCCCACCUUCCAGCAACCAGAGGCUUAGGAUGUGCCGAUUCAGGGGCUGCCUCCACCAUCGACUGCGUUCAGUACCUCCUGAUGGGCCGUCCCUCCAAGAUCGGUUCAGCACCCUUGAGCCGUCGGCCUCCACGGCACCUCGUGGCAAUGAGUCCCACAAGCUGAAGUCGCGCCGUGGGGAAGAGGAACCUCGUCUUGUUGGGUUUAAACCUACCGCUGCUCUCCUGGCUCUAGUGGUGCAUACUAAGAACAGACAAACCGCCAUUGACUGGCUCAGACCCUAAGUCCGUCUUGGGUCACGUAGGGGCAGAGAACAGGAGCUGAAAGGCAGAGUGACCUGGGUCUGAGCAGGGAUUUCCCCCCGCCACUCCUCUCCCCUUCGCAGCCUCCAGCAUUGAUGGUCCAGGCAGGUCUGAUGCGGAGGCCGUGCCCCUCGCUCCUGCUCAACAGCGACCCAUGCCCCUUUCCUCCCAGCACAUGUCCCAUCCCUUAGUGAAUCUGGCUUUACUCUCAGCUAUCACCACCAUGGGCAACAACGCGCAUGCCUUAAUGACCCGCUGGGUGAAAAAGAACUCCUUUUGGUUAGUUUUGAACUUACCACGUAUUCGUUUCGUGUUGUGAACCCCUCAUUCUUGCAUUGCGAGACAGUCCAUAAUAAAUCCCUAUCGACCUUCUCUUUGUAAACCCUUCUCAGGCUUCCUGUCAAGCGUCUCCGUUGUGAACUGACCUGGUCUGGCCUCCUGAGCGUCUCUUCUAUGCAAGCCCCUCCAUCCCACUAAUCACCCUCGUUGCCCUUCUCUGCUUCUUCGAGACCCUUUUGGCGGGGUGUGGACCAGAACCGGGCCCAGGAUUCAAGAUAAUCCGUCCCUGUGUCCUUCCUCUGCACCUUCCAAUGUAAUUUCUGGUGUCCCGCCUGUUUGAGACACCGUGCUGCUUUGGCGAUAAAGGGUAGCGCGCUGAUUGUCAGGGCGGUUCGGAUUUUCACACAAAAGCUGGCAGACGUCUCGGAUAUGCGUGCGGCUGCUCUGAGCCCAGCAAAGAGAACGCAGCUCUGGGUGUCCGGGAGUCUCUGCUUUGUUCCAGGUCUGUCGGGGGAACGGCGGGGGACUGAAUGGCAUUAGCACGGGGGAUGAAUAAGCUGCUGGAGUCGAACCACUGUUAUCCGAGGGUGUGGGUUAUAGCAAGACGAGGUUCUUCGGGGAAAUGUGAUAUCUAUUAUUAGACCAACUAAAAUAGCUGGAAAAAAUCUUUGCAAGCUUUUGGGCACAAACACCCCUCUUCGGGCAGCCGGUUCGUGCUGGGGGUUAUAGCAAGGAACAGCAACGAACAAGGUGCCGAUUCCUGGGGCAACUAAUUCCGGACUGACCCCAGGUUUUGUGUCUUGCUGAAGGCUGCUAGACCAGGGCAGAGCAGAUGAUACGAGCGUCCGUCCUGCUUCCCCGCCGCCUCAUUUCAGCAGGUGUUUUGCUUGCUGCGUGGCUCUAAGGCAGAGCUCGUGUCUGGCAGCUGGCUUUGUCCCUGGCCCGGAGUGGAAGAGGCAGCGCAGCUGCACGGCGAUCUCUUUGCUGGCUGUCGGGUGCUGCUGCUGAGCUGGAAGCCCAGAGCGAUGCCGUGGAGCCGGGACGGAAAGUGGCCCUCGUGGAUGACCUGCUUGCCAUGGGCGGUACCAUGCACACGGCUUGCGAGCUGAUGAAGCGGCUGAAGGCCGAAGCGCUCGAGUGCCUGGUGGUCAUCGAGCUGCUGUCUCUGAAAGGGGCCGAGAAGCUGCAGCCUUUCCGUCGCCGCUCCCCGCUGCAGUACGAUAGCGCUCGGAGCAGACCGCCCCGGCUGCCUGGUGAGGAGGCAUGAACUCCUGCGUUUGGGAAGCGACGGUUCUUUGGGGAAAUCCGGUAUCUUUUAUUACACCAACUCAAAUAGUUGGGAAAAGUUCUUCUGAACAAGCUUUCAGGUUUAAAAACCCUUAGUCAGGCCGAGGAAGCAUCUGUGGUUGCUGUCUGCUCUUGCUGGACAGAAUGAAUAGUAAAGUGGGCAGAGGCCGGGCUGCUGGCAAGACAGGCCAUCAGUGCAAAUGAGAGUUGAGGCAGCCGGUGAUUUGAGAGACGGGCGGGGGGCGAAGGAAUGCAGCCUGUAAAUGGUGGAGAGGUACCCGGGGAGUCCAGUAUUAGGCAGGUUACACCAUGUCAUGAAUCCAAUGUCUAUAUUUAGUCCAUGAUUUUUUGUAUCCGGGAGGUGGUUGACGUGAAGUUUGUGAAAAGUCUUUUGUAAAAUCCCUUUGAGGAUUAAAACAGAUUGAGAGUG